rnacentral:lncRNA from 1 species
GGGCUAGGAGUUAGGCUAGGGUGUGGAGAGGAAGCAUGGUGUAUAUGGGUUGUGUGGCCUAGGACAUGAAUAAGGCAUAUGGACAACACAAGGUCGCACUUCAUGGACUAUUUUUCACUCUCGCUCUUGGGCUGGGCAUGCCACUAACUAAGGCCCCUCUCAUUCUAAAUCUUAGCACCAUAACAUUGCAUGAGCGACUUGUAAAAUGAAGAGGGUGAGCAGCCUUUUUAUAAAGAGGAAUUAGCGUUUAGGAGAGUGUAAAAGGUUCUCUUAGGAGAUGCAUUGUGAAAUCUCCUGUUAGGAAAUCUAUAAGGUGACAGAUGCUUCAAAACCAUUUAUCCUUAUCUAACUACCAUAGAUUACGGGAUGAUAUGUGAUCACCAAUAAAGCUCUUAAUUUCUCUUUAAUAUAUCAAAUCUUGGUUAAUUAAAUUUUAUCUUCGUUAAAUUGUUGACGAAGGCUACCCAAAUAAAAAUAAUCCAAGUUAGGAGAGAGAGACAAUUGAAUAGGCUAAUUGUCAGGCAUACAUGUAUAUAUGUGAAUUCUUCUCUUUUCCUCACUAUCUCACAUGCUAUAAACAAAAGGAGUGGCUUG